GAUGAACGCUAGCGGGAGGCUUAACACAUGCAAGUUGAGGGGCAGCAUAGGGUAGCAAUACCCUGAUGGCGACCGGCAGACGGGUGAGUAACGCGUAUGUAACCUACCCUGUACAGGGGGAUAACCCGGAGAAAUUCGGACUAAUAUCCCAUAGUAAUAUCCGGAGGCAUCUUUGGAUAUUUAAAGUUCCGGCGGUACGGGAUGGGCAUGCGUAACAUUAGCUAGUUGGUAAGGUAACGGCCUACCAAGGCUAUGAUGUUUAGGGGUCCUGAGAGGGUGAUCCCCCACACUGGUACUGAGACACGGGCCAGACUCCUACGGGAGGCAGCAGUGAGGAAUAUUGGUCAAUGGGCGCAAGCCUGAACCAGCCAUCCCGCGUGCAGGAAGACGGCGCUAUGCGUUGUAAACUGCUUUUCCAGGGAGAGAAACUUGCGCACGUGUUGCGCAAUUGACGGUACCCUGGGAAUAAGCAUCGGCUAACUCCGUGCCAGCAGCCCGGGUAAA
rnacentral:rRNA from 1 species